rnacentral:tRNA from 1 species
ACCUGGGUGGCUCAGUCAGUUGAGCGUCUGACUUCGGCUCAGGUCAUGAUCUCGCGGUCCGUGGGUUCGAGCCCCGCGUCGGGCU